ensembl:lncRNA
CCGGCUAAUGGCUCGACAGGAUGCAUUAAGGUUUUCUGUCUAAAGAGCGGGGGGGGGGCCAGGCGGCGAGGCCAAACGCAGACCUGUCGAGUGCUGCGUGCCCCCCCCCCCCCCCCCCCGCUCGUGUGCCGGGAAGCAGAUGUUUGAGUGCACGCGGUGGACUGGCAGGGGGGGGGGGGGGGGGCAGCAGAUGCCUGUACCGGUGCCAAGGUUCACAGUCGUACAGACGCUACAUGCUCAGAGAGGGAGGGCUGCCAUAGGUGGCUCCCCAGCUGAACGCCCCCCCCCCCUUCUGUCCGACCCCUUUUAUUUAUUCAUCUAUUUGCUGAAUUAUUUACUCAUUCCAUCGCUCGUUUGGCCGCUAACCGACCCGGCAGAGAUGCAGCGUUCACUUAUUGCCUUUACAGCGCGUGCUAACACCGAUGCUAACAGCGCGUGCUAACACCGAUGCUAACGCGAUGCUAGCGCGGCUUCUGUUUAACUAAUGUAACCUUUUAAAAUGAUUAAAUGUACUAUCUUAACUACUCGCUGUUACAUGACAGUAAACCUUCAUCAUUUUCUCAUGAAGGACAAACAUCUUCAGACCUCGUCCUUAGAAACGAAAGUGAUCAGUUGACCUCAAAGGUCGUGGACGUCACACAACGUUUCACCUCCAAACAGAAGUAAUCCUUUUGUUCAGGAACCCUUCGCCUCCUCGUCUGAUUCUUUCCUCAUUUACGCAGCAAUACGGGGCGACACCUCGGCGCUCGUCACGGGGCGGCGAGCGCGUGUAAGGCAGCGACGCGCUUCGGCGACAUCGAUAAUCCCUGCGAGCCGCUCGCUUUCACUCGCCGUCCCCCAACACGUCCCCUCUGUAGGUCGGAUCUGAAGGGAGAAAGUUGUCCCGCGCUCUGGAAGGAGAUCUCGCCUCUUUUUAUGAACACCAGAAGCGCCCGUGGGAGUCGGCGGUGAUCAAAUUCCCCUCUAAUUAAAAGGAACCUGGUCUGAGGCUGUUUAAUAUGUACAGAGCGCCGCCGAUGGCACAAAGCAGCUCCUCCGCCGUCGGUCGGCGGGGAGAAGGCCGACCCGGCCGUGGCGCCGACGUGGGCGGGACGAGAGCCGGCCCCCGGAGCGUCCUGGAGGUCGCCGCCACCUGAUGUCAGACGCGGCCGGCGAAGCCUAAGCCCCGCCUUUUAAUCUGAGGUCGCCUCCGCCGUUUGGCGGCCCCGCCCUCGCCCCCCAUGGCGCCUCCUUUCUCUCGGUCUGUCAGUUCACACACUUCAGUCUUCUUCGUGGGCGCGGCGUCCCGCUGGAGCGGCUUAAGAUUCAGGUCCGCCAUCCGGUUAUGACGCUGCAGCGGUUUGCAGGGAGGUGAGAUGAGGGAUACGAAUUCAAUUUAGGUGUUCCUGCCGGAUCAAUGGCGGCAAUCCGGCCGCGAUCCCGGGUUAUGAAUACCUGAGCAGACGCGUGACGCGGCGCAUACCGAUGACACGGGCGCCACGGCGGGAGGAGAAGCUUCGGUCUCUCCGCUCCCUCGUGGACUCGGGUGGACCGUCGCGCUGUAACCAGCCAACGCAUCGGACCUCUCUGCAUGAACUGGAUCGCCAUGGAAACGCCAUCUGCACGCGGAACAAGAUGAACGAUGAGCUCACUCAAACAAACUGGUGAAAGUAAAAGUAUUUAACUUGUUCUGUCGAUAACGGACCUCUGACAUGAACACAACAGUCGACGUCUACUUUGUUUUCCAUGAUUGAUUUCAUCAAAAGCCUUAAAGGCGUCUCACAAACACACUAACAUUUAACAGCAUUUCAUCCCAAUAAAACCUUCUUGGCGUUUCAUCCUUUCUCCUUUAAAUGUGGCUUGUUGUGUCUUUCUUCAGGUUCUUCUGUACUUUCAGGUCCCACUGGUGCUGCUUUGGAGCGGCGCUCUUCUCGUGCGUCAGGGGAGCGCUUGUUAAACGCGCCGCACACAUCCGGUGCGGGUGGAUUCCUGCGCGCUGCUGCCGGGCCGGAGCAGGUAGCCUGCACUCCAUUAAACACACUCACUUUUAUUUGACAUUUUAUUUGGCUGUGACAAACGAGCAGCAGUUGGAUUAUAACAUAAUUUGUCUCCUCUUUAUUACCGGCACAAAGGACACCAUUCAUUAAUUAUUCUGCCGUUGCCGCUCAACGCUAACUGGAAAGGUCCCUCUUUGGACAGAUGGCGAGGACAAUGUUAUUUAUAUCAAUCAGUCCAAAAUGUUCAGCGAGGAUUACUAUUCCUUGGACCGCUUUGAUUUAUGUCUCUGCAGCUCACCCCGGACCCACCUCCCCGGCUCCGGGGGACGCUUUAAUCGAAUGGGAAUUGAAAACAAACUCGCCAGGCAGGCGAUGUUUAUUUAUACAUCUCGCUGUAGUUUUUUUACCCCUGCAAGUCUUCUAAACUAAAGUUCUUCUGCUGUUGUUACUUUUCUGUGAGGCGAGAGUUCAAUUUGUAAGACUCUCACAGGGGAGUGUGUGCGUUUGCAUCCUUUAGUAGGAGUGUGUACCUGUGUGAGGAGGUGAGCUGGACCUCCACUGCUCCUUAACGCAGGGCGUUACAUACGUGUUAUAGGUGAUGGAAGCUUUUCUCUACUGGAAAGCGUGUCAGCAGAUACAAACAGGACAUUUAGCAUUUAUUCUCAUUGAUUUAGAUUUUUCCUCAAACAAACAAUGUCGAACGUUUGUGGAUGUAAGUGGCGGUGCUGAAGCGUGCAGCAGCAGGUGAAGCGUGCAGCAGCAGGUGAAGCCUGCAGUAGGUGAAGCGUGCAGCAGCAGGUGAAGCGUGCAGUAGGUGAAGCGUGCAGCAGCAGGUGAAGCGUGCAGUAGGUGAAGCGUGCAGCAGCAGGUGAAGCUUGCAGCAGCAGGUGAAGCCUGCAGUAGGUGAAGCGUGCAGCAG